rnacentral:snRNA from 1 species
GUGCUCGCUUUGGCAGCACAUAUACUAAAAUUGGAACAUACAGAGAUGGUUAGCAUGGCCCCUGUGCAAGGAUGACAUGUAAAUUCGUGAAGCGUUCCAUAUUUUU